UCUACCCUACUUUUGUACUCGACAUGAAAAAUAAUACAAACAAAACUUGGUGGUGGAACUCUCUUAAUUCAUAAGUGAGAUGAAUCCUAUAUGUUUAUAACAUAAUAAAAAAAGGCUUAUC
rfam:Polaribacter irgensii 23-P scf_1099646005584 genomic scaffold, whole genome shotgun sequence.